UACGUAGGUGGCAAGCGUUGUCCGGAUCUACUGGGUGUAAAGGGCGCGUAGGCGGGAUUGCAAGUCAGAUGUGAAAUCUAUGGGCUCAACUCAUAAACUGCAUUUGAGACUGUAAUUCUUGAGUAUCGGAGAGGCAAGCGGAAUUCCUAGUAUAGCGGUGAAAUGCGUAGAUAUUAGGAGGAACACCAGUGGCGAAGGCGGCUUGCUGGACGACAACUGACGCUGAGGCGCGAAAGCGUGGGGAGCAAAC
rnacentral:rRNA from 1 species